GCAACAUGAUGAAACAUUUCCUACAUUCGCAGUUUCCACGCUAGCCAUCAACCUGAACCUUAGACCGAUGGACAAUGAGCGCGAAUACCUUCCUUGGAUGUCUGAUUGC
rnacentral:snoRNA from 1 species